rnacentral:rRNA from 1 species
CCUACGGGAGGCAGCAGUGGGGAAUAUUGCACAAUGGGGGAAACCCUGAUGCAGCGACGCCGCGUGAGCGAUGAAGUAUUUCGGUAUGUAAAGCUCUAUCAGCAGGGAAGAAAAUGACGGUACCUGACUAAGAAGCCCCGGCUAACUACGUGCCAGCAGCCGCGGUAAUACGCAGGGGGCCAGCGUUAUCCGGAUUUACUGGGUGUAAAGGGAGCGUAGACGGUCCUGCAAGCCAGAUGUGAAAGCCCGGGGCUCAACCCCGGAACUGCAUUUUGAACUGUAAGGCUGGAGUGUAGGAGAGGCAGGCGGAAUUCCUGGUGUAGCGGUGAAAUGCGUAGAUAUUAGGAAGAACACCAGUGGCGAAGGCGGCCUGCUGGACGGUGACUGACGUUGAGGCUCGAAAGCGUGGGGAGCAAACAGGAUUAGAUACCCUAGUAGUC